CACCGAUUUUGCUGUCCCGACCCUCCUAGGUGCCAGCACCCUGAAGCUGAAAGGGACAAAUGCAUUCAUCACCUGCAGCUCCAGGAAGAUCAAACAAAGAUGUCUGGUCACUAAGAUAAAAUGAGUUGUACUAAACAUGCCAAGGCUUUCAAUCCGCUAUUCAGUUCAUAUAUGUUUCAGUGUGAGCGCACAUGUUUCACUAACUUUUAAUAGAUGAAAACGAAAACAUUGCAUCACUUUGCUUUUGAACGAAACCAAAAAGUAUAUGUCUUCUGCACAGGAAACAACAUACUGCCAUUUAUACUGUCCCCCAAAAAAGGAAAUUGGAUAGUAUCGACCAUUGACUCCUGGUAAAGCAUAGUUAACCAAAUGAUCAUAGCAAUACAACAUCAUUAGCAAAGAACAAAAGUAACGGGCAUGCGCAUGUAGAUCCACACGUCGAAAAAACUUCCAGUGAGCUCACACUUGAUGCAGUUGAACCACGUAACUUCCAAUUCAAAGUGAUUCUACAUGACAUUGCUACUAAAGCCUCUUUUGCUAAAAUAAAUACAUGAUACUGCAUAAUCAUGAGGUAAGCUUAGGCCUGCAACAUUUACCUCGUCCUUGCCGUUGGUGGCGUCCUCCUUCCGCUGCUUCUUCCUCCCCUCCUUGGGUCGGUUCUCCUUCUUCUUCCUGGCCAAGUUCCACCAUGGCGUCCUUGUCGACCUCCUCGUCCAAGGACAGGGAGAUCACCUUGGCAAACCUGGGCUGCCCUUGCGCAGCCUCGC
rnacentral:lncRNA from 1 species